GCGUAUCUUUCAAAUGUCUGCCCUAUCAAAUGUCGACGGGAGGGUCGUUUCCUCCCGUGUUGGCGACGGGUGACGGGGAAUCAGGGUUCGAUUCCGGAGAGGGAGCAUGAGAGUCGGCUACCACGUCCAAGGAAGGCAGCAGGCGCGCAAAUUACCCACUCCUGACACGGGGAGGUAGUGACGAAAACUAACGGUGCGGGACUCUGUCGAGGCUCCGCAACCGGAAUGAGCACACUUUAAAUCCUUGAGCGAGGAUCGAUUGGAGGGCAAGUCUGGUGCCAGCAGCCGCGGUAAACCAGCUUCCAAUAGCGUAUAUUAAAGUUGUUGCAGUUAUAAAAGCUCGUAGUUGGAUCUCGGGGCUGACUUGGUGGUGUCUCCAGCGAAUAUAUUCCCUGGCCCACUUGGUGUUGGCUGCCAGUCAGCCCCUCAGUCGGGUGGAGGGUAUGGGAAUGUUGCAACUUUUACCUCCGGUCCACCCAAUCGGGUAGCCCAGUUGGCCUUUUUUUGGCUGCCGAUGGACAGUCACUGGAAGCUGGGGCCAGGACCAGCGAUCAUUCCAGUGGCCCCGCCUGAAUUACUUUGAAAAAAUUAGAGUGUUCAAAGCAUGGCUGGGCAUUGCCUGAUCAAUAGUCGCUACGAUUCAUGGAAUAAUGGAAAGGGACCGCCGUCCCCGUUCUGUUGGUUCUCCGGGAGUGGAGGUAACGGUUAAGAGGGGCAGACGGGGCUACUCGUACUGCGGCGUGAGAGGUGAAAUUCUUGGACCGCCGCCGGACGCGCUGGGGCGAAAGCAUGUGGCAAGCAUGUUCUCAUUAAUCAAGAACGAAAGUCAGGGGAGCGAAGACGAUCAGAUACCGUCAUAGUCCCGACCCUAAACGAUGCCGACUGGUGAUCCGCCGGAGUUUCGUACCUAUGACCCGGCGGGCAGCCCUAGGGAAACCGAGUAAGUCUUUGGGUUCCGGGGGAAGUAUGGUUGCAAAGCUGAAACUUAAAGGAAUUGACGGAAGGGCACCACCAGGAGUGGAGCCUGCGGCUUAAUUUGACUCAACACGGGGAAUCUCACCCGGCCCGGACACCGUGAGGAUUGACAGAUUGAGAGCUCUUUCUUGAUUCGGUGGGUGGUGGUGCAUGGCCGUUAAAAGUUGGUGGAGCGAUCUGUCUGGUUAAUUCCGAUAACGAACGAGACUCCGGCCUUUAAAUAGUCCGUCCCCCCGGCGAGGGGUUUGGGGCGAAACCAAUUCGACUUCUUUGAGGGACUGGCGGCGCGGCAGCCGCACGAGACGGGGCGAUAACAGGUCUGUGAUGCCCUUAGAUGUUCGGGGCCGCACGCGCGCUACACUGAAAGAGUCAGAGGGUCGAGUCCUGGCCCUACCGGGCUGGGCAAUCCGUUGCCAACCUCUAUCGUGCUAGGGACUGGGGCUUGCAAUUGUCCCCACCAACGAGGAAUUCCCAGUAAGCGCGAGUCAUCAGCUUGUGUUGAACAAGUCCCUGCCCUUUGUACACACCGCCCGUCGCUACUACCGCUUGGAUGGUUUAGUGAGGCCUUCGGACGGGCCCUUCGGGGGUAACAUCCGCCGCCUAGUCCCUCCAACCUAGGAAAGCAGCCCCCGUGAGGCCCGGAAGGAGGUCGAACUUGAUCAUUUAGAGGAAGUAAAAGUCGUAACAAGGUUUCCGUAGGUGAACCU
rnacentral:rRNA from 1 species